UAUGAAAAUAUGUACUAUUAAAUGGUACGAAAUUUUAUAUACUUGGAUUAGAUUAAUUAGUGUGUAGGUACUAUAAUCAGGUACUAAAUACUGGGGUAUAUCAAUACUUUUUGUAACCUCUGUACAAGUAUUCUAUUCUUUCACUUUAACAUAUUGACUACCAUAUGAAUUUUAUAUGCAUAUUUUGUCUUGGGAGCCGUAAUAGAUUUAAAUACAUAUGUAUUUAAUUUUAUAUAUAUAAUUUUUGCAAAAUAUUUUUAGUAUAUCUACGCACUUUUGUCUGACAUCUAAGUCAUUCAUAUUGUUAAAUAUUUCUUAAUCCAUGAAAUUUAUCUUACUUUAAUUAUACCAAAAAAUUGAGCAAUGUGAGUUAUUGAUGACACAUUAUAGUUGUCAACGGAUCAAAGCAAAAGUACUGAAAGAUACAAAAAAAUUUUAAUUUAAUGUUAGCAACUUAGACUAGUAAAAAGAAAUGUAUUGCAUAAAGAUAUAUAUAUUUGUAUGUCAGAUGUUAUAUUUAUUUAAAUAUUCUUGUAGUAUUCUUAUAAAUAAAUGGAUUGAUAUAACAACAA